rnacentral:rRNA from 1 species
GAUGAACGCUGGCGGCGUGCCUAAUACAUGCAAGUCGAGCGAACAGACGAGGAGCUUGCUCCUCUGACGUUAGCGGCGGACGGGUGAGUAACACGUGGAUAACCUACCUAUAAGACUGGGAUAACUUCGGGAAACCGGAGAUAAUACCGGAUCAUAUAUUGAACCGCAUGGUUCAAUAGUGAAAGACGGUUUUGCUGUCACUUAUAGAUGGAUCCGCGCCGCAUUAGCUAGUUGGUAAGGUAACGGCUUACCAAGGCGACGAUGCGUAGCCGACCUGAGAGGGUGAUCGGCCACACUGGAACUGAGACACGGUCCAGACUCCUACGGGAGGCAGCAGUAGGGAAUCUUCCGCAAUGGGCGAAAGCCUGACGGAGCAACGCCGCGUGAGUGAUGAAGGUCUUCGGAUCGUAAAACUCUGUUAUUAGGGAAGAACAAAUGUGUAAGUAACUAUGCACGUCUUGACGGUACCUAAUCAGAAAGCCACGGCUAACUACGUG